rnacentral:tRNA from 1 species
GGGCCGCUAGCUCAAUUGGCAGAGCAGCAGACUCUUAAUCUGCUGGUUCUCGGUUCGAUUCCGAGGCGGCUCACCA